CGACAAGAGAUCAGCCAAUGAGCGGGCCUCAUAUGUUUUCUAAAGGGAGUCACUACAGCACCUUGUGGUCCAUCACCGAUAUAUAUCUACCCAAAACGGUUUCAGCCGUCUGCAGUCUGGCUGCAUCCCUGCUGAGGCAGCGUAUCCAAGGAAGACAGUCAGGAGGCGCGACCAGGAGAAGUCAGGACUAUCAGGAGCCCCCCAGGUGAUAAGGGAUCACAGCUCUGCCUUUCUUCCGGCCCCAGUUCAAGUCUCUCCCUGCGUUCUGCAGAAGGUAGUUAUCUCGUCUCCAUCGUCUAGCGUGAUAGAUUAUGGAUAGCGAAACAGCCCUGGGCGUCCGUUUCGGCACGGCUAGCUUUUUGUAAUAGUACCCCCUAGAUCUCGU